rnacentral:sRNA from 1 species
GGGGGCGUACCGGUUUCGACGGGGACGUUGAGCAUCGGUAAGCGGGCAGGGGUGCGGGGCCCCUUUAACAAUCCGCAAUUGUUAUAAAUUAAAUAACAACGAUUACGCACUCGCUGCCUAAAUAAUGGCGGCCGUCCUUAGCGGAAGGACCGCGGUCCGCAAAAGGGCGUCAUUUCAGCGGUGAACGCACCGGGGAAAGCUUUGACUCCGAGUGUGUACCAUGAAGCUACCGAAUCCGUAAGGCUGUAGGCCGCCGUGCGGAUAAGGGAAUCUUAAAAGACCAACUGCGCCCGGAGAAAGCUUGUGGGAGAUGUUUUCGGACACGGGUUCGACUCCCGUCGCCUCCAU